AACCAUAGAAACCUGCGGAGUACCUGCGGAGGGAUCAUUAUAGUAUAUGGAAUCUCCAUUCUAUAAACCCACUCUGCGUAUCUUGUAACUGUUGCUUCCAUGGGACUUGGUUCCGCCACACCGGCUUCACGGCUGGUGAGCGCCCAUGGAAGGAGAAACAAAACUCUUCUUUGAAAUGUAGUCAGUCUGAACAAGUUUUUAUAAACGUUAAAACUUUCAACACGGAUCUCAGAUCGGAAG
rnacentral:misc_RNA from 1 species